rnacentral:tRNA from 1 species
UCUCAGAUAGCCGAGCCGGUAAAGUCUCGGACGCGCAACUAGACGAGCCGGGUUCAAGCCCCGGUCUUAGAC